rnacentral:rRNA from 1 species
GACGGGGGAUGCAAGCGGUAUCCGGAAUCACUGGGAGUAAAGCGUCUGUAGGUGGUGAUGCAAGUCAGUGGUGCAAAACUCUGGCUCAACCGGAGGAAAGCCAGUGAAACUGCAUGACUAGAGUGUGGGAGAGGUAGAAGGAAUUCCCUGAGUAGCGGUGAAAUGCGUAGAUACAGGGAAGAACACCGGAGGCGAAAGCGUUCUACUGGAACACAACUGACACUGAGAGACGAAAGCUCGGGGAGCGAAUGGG